CACCUCUUCGCAAUAGGUGAUCUGAGUAUACUUUUUCAAAGUUAACAUGAAUAACACCUGGAAGGGUAAAUCCAUAAUAUUCUUUUACCUUCCAUUUACUGACCUCAGCUCUGGCAGUCUGAACAUGUUUAUCAUUAUAAAUAGAGGUUUUUGCGGUAAGAGAAGGAAAGUUACAGCCUAUCUUUCAGUAAAACAUUAACUGCUGAAGUACUUCACUUAUAUUAAUAAGAUUAUCUCAAUCACACCACUGUGCAAUUUAAACGAAUAACCAGCAGUGUCUGGGUUAAUAAAACAUUUUACACUUGCU